GAUGAACGCUAGCUACAGGCUUAACACAUGCAAGUCGAGGGGCAGCGCAGUGUAGCAAUACAUGGGCGGCGACCGGCGCACGGGUGCGUAACGCGUAUCCAACCUUCCCGUUACUCAGGGAUAGCCUUCCGAAAGGGAGAUUAAUACCUGAUGGUGUUUGAAUUCCGCAUGUUAUUCAAACUAAAGAUUUAUCGGUAACGGAUGGGGAUGCGUGACAUUAGAUAGUAGGCGGGGUAACGGCCACCUAGUCUACGAUGUCUAGGGGUUCUGAGAGGAAGGUCCCCCACACUGGAACUGAGACACGGUCCAGACUCCUACGGGAGGCAGCAGUGAGGAAUAUUGGUCAAUGGUCGGAAGACUGAACCAGCCAAGUAGCGUGAAGGAUGAAGGUUCUAUGGAUUGUAAACUUCUUUUAAUACGGGAAUAAAACCUCCCACGUGUGGGAGCUUGUAUGUACCGUAUGAAUAAGCAUCGGCUAACUCCGUGCCAGCAGCCG
rnacentral:rRNA from 1 species